rnacentral:rRNA from 1 species
ACAUCCAGAGAAUUUAGCAGAGAUGCUUUAGUGCCUUCGGGGAACUCUGAGACAGGUGCUGCAUGGCUGUCGUCAGCUCGUGUUGUGAAAUGUUGGGUUAAGUCCCGNAACGAGCGCAACCCUUAUCCUUUGUUGCCAGCACGUAAUGGUGGGAACUCAAAGGAGACUGCCGGUGAUAAACCGGAGGAAGGUGGGGAUGACGUCAAGUCAUCAUGGCCCUUACGAGUAGGGCUACACACGUGCUACAAUGGCGCAUACAAAGAGAAGCGACCUCGCGAGAGCAAGCGGACCUCAUAAAGUGCGUCGUAGUCCGGAUUGGAGUCUGCAACUCGACUCCAUGAAGUCGGAAUCGCUAGUAAUCGUAAAUCAGAAUGUUACGGUGAAUACGUUCCCGGGCCUUGUACACACCGCCCGUCACACCAUGGGAGUGGGUUGCAAAAGAAGUAGAUAGCUUAACCUUCGGGAGGGCGUUUACCACUUUGUGAUUCAUGACUGGGGUGAAGUCGUAACAAGGUAAGCGUAGUGCU